rnacentral:tRNA from 1 species
GCCGGGGUGGUGGAAUGGUAGACACGUACGCUUGAGGUGCGUAUGCCUAAAAGCUUGCAGGUUCAACUCCUGUCCUCGGCAC